ensembl:lncRNA MIR3936HG MIR3936 host gene
AGUGUGGUUGCGCCAGGCGCUGCUCAGGUUCGCGGCGUCCGGCACCCGGCAGCGGUGCUCCGGGGUCGCUAUCAGGAACACGGAGGACAGGCCGGUGAAGCCAUUGGGGAUGAUGCUGGCGCUGAGCAGGAAGAAGAUGAGGCGCUGGAAGGGCCCCCACUCGCCCAGGAAGGCGGUCACCUCGUCGUAGUCCCGCAUGCCGCCCUCAGAGGCCCACAGAGCGCGGCCUGGGGUCGGGGAACGCGGCGGGCUUUGCGCGUGCGCGCGGGGCACCCGCCGCCGACCAGGCAAGCCAGGCAGCAGGCGACCCAAGACCGUCCGCGGAGGAGACAAGCAAGCUGUCAUGUUAUAAGCAGCCCUUUGAGGGGUCCAUGUGAUGUCAAGGAAUGAAGUCUCUAGCCAACAUUUAAUGAGGAACUGAGGCCCACCAACAACCUUGAGUGAGCUUGGAAGUAGCUCCUUCAGCAUCAGUUGGGUGUCGAGAUGACUACUGACAGCUUGACUGCAACUUCAUGAGAGUCUUCUGGACCAGAACCACUCAGUUAAGUGGCUCCCAGAUUCCUGAUCCUCAGAAACUCUGAGAAAUAAUGAAUGUUGGUUGUUUUAAAAUGGUAAAUUUUGAGGUAUUAUGUUAUGUGGCAAUAGAUAGCUAAUAUAUAAAUUAUUUGAAUCAAACAAUACGUUAAAUUAAAGCUCAGAAGAAUAAACAUCUGUAAUUCCUUAAUUUGUUUUCCCUUCUAUUCUACAGAAUAGAAUUUUACAGAUGAACCUUGUAGUUACUUGUGCAAUAAGAGACAGUAUGUUGUAUUGAUUAAGUGCAGAGCCUCUGGAUGUAUGAUAGAAGAAAGACCAAUAUUCAAUUGCUUUCUUCUUCAAUUCCAAGCUUGUGAGCUUGAGCAAAUUUUAAAAGUGUUUUAAGCCUCAGUUUCCUGGGAUGGUAGUGCUUAGCUCGAGCUCCUAGCAUAUAUUAACUACAAACUAAAUAUUAGCUAUAAUUAUUAGUUUUACUUUGAUUAUUGACUCUAAAUAAAUACCUUAAGAACUUUGUGUUCUCCACAGAUUUGGAUAUGUCUGGACGUUAUGUAGGCUGGAGUAGUCAGCAAUUACUUGCCUGAGGAAGGGAAGGCCUCCUCCUUUAAGAAAAGAAUAGGCUGGGUGCGGUGGCUCAUACUUGUAAUCCCAGCAUUUUGGGAGGCUGAGGAGGGUGGAUCACCUGAGGUCAGGAGUUUGAGAC